rnacentral:rRNA from 3 species
UACGUAGGGGGCAAGCGUUAUCCGGAUUUACUGGGUGUAAAGGGAGCGUAGACGGACUGGCAAGUCUGAUGUGAAAGGCGGGGGCUCAACCCCUGGACUGCAUUGGAAACUGUUAGUCUUGAGUGCCGGAGAGGUAAGCGGAAUUCCUAGUGUAGCGGUGAAAUGCGUAGAUAUUAGGAGGAACACCAGUGGCGAAGGCGGCUUACUGGACGGUAACUGACGUUGAGGCUCGAAAGCGUGGGGAGCAAACAGG